rnacentral:lncRNA from 1 species
AUACCAGUAGGGACAGACAGAGGACAUCAGUCUGAGGCCAGGACAAAUCAGCUCUCAAUCCUCUUCUUCUCUUCUUCCUUUCAGGUAUCAGUUUAUGGGAUGGAAAUGUAAGAUCUGCACUUUUCAGGCGUCAUCCAUAAACUAUCUACCAGACUAGCCUUCAGGUAAAAGCAGUGAUCACCAGGAACAACAGCAGCUCCAAAUCCUGUCUGAGGUUAAGAAGAAGCUCAGCAUUUGUGUUUAGAAGACAUGACAUCAUCAGUCUUCAGAUGAGCAUCCAGGAGAUGGUGGAGAGGUGGUCUUCCUUGUUUGAUGUGUCUGAGGUCAAUGCAGAGUUCCAGCAGAUCACCACAGUAAAUGUUGAGGCCAAAUUCAUUUCAACUGCUGUCCAUCUUCCAAGCUAAGAAAAGUGCUGCUGGAGCCUGACACCGUGCAAGAACUGAUGCUGUUCUCCAGAGUGGAGUUGCUGUUGAGAAAACCAGAGAAUUCUUCAUCCGAUGUCCCAUUGAUCACCCUGGGAAAGAUGAUAAUGCUUUAAUCAAGGAGUUAAAGGCAAGUGCAGUUAAUGACUUUGUGGGUUCUCCCUACAAUGUAUCUGUUAGUAUGUCAUUAAUUCCUCUACUUAUAUAUGCUAUUUUACAACAGUUAGUUCUGACCAAAUGAUUUGAUUGGACAACAGACAUUUCAAGAGUGCUGAUAUAAAGCAACAAUGGCACCAGGACUUCUUAUGGAUCAUAUCACUCUACUGUACAACUGAUGUAAAUACCAUUAAUUAUAG